rnacentral:rRNA from 1 species
ACGCUGGCGGCAGGCUUAACACAUGCAAGUCGAACGGUAACAGGAGAAAGCUUGCUUUCUUGCUGACGAGUGGCGGACGGGUGAGUAAUGCUUGGGAAUCUGGCUUAUGGAGGGGGAUAACGACGGGAAACUGUCGCUAAUACCGCGUAGAGUCGAGAGACGAAAGUGCGGGACCGCAAGGCCGCAUGCCAUAGGAUGAGCCCAAGUGGGAUUAGGUAGUUGGUGGGGUAAUAGCCUACCAAGCCGACGAUCUCUAGCUGGUCUGAGAGGAUGACCAGCCACACCGGGACUGAGACACGGCCCGGGCUCCUACGGGAGGCAGCAGUGGGGAAUAUUGCGCAAUGGGGGCAACCCUGACGCAGCCAUGCCGCGUGAAUGAAGAAGGCCUUCGGGUUGUAAAGUUCUUUCGGUAUUGAGGAAGGUUGUUGUGUUAAUAGCACGACAAAUUGACGUUAAAUACAGAAGAAGCACCGGCUAACUCCGUGCCAGCAGCCGCGGUAAUACGGAGGGUGCGAGCGUUAAUCGGAAUAACUGGGCGUAAAGGGCACGCAGGCGGACUUUUAAGUGAGGUGUGAAAUCCCCGGGCUUAACCUGGGAAUUGCAUUUCAGACUGGGAGUCUAGAGUACUUUAGGGAGGGGUAGAAUUCCACGUGUAGCGGUGAAAUGCGUAGAGAUGUGGAGGAAUACCGAAGGCGAAGGCAGCCCCUUGGGAAUGUACUGACGCUCAUGUGCGAAAGCGUGGGGAGCAAACAGGAUUAGAUACCCUGGUAGUCCACGCUGUAAACGCUGUCGAUUUGGGGAUUGGGCUUUAAGCUUGGUGCCCGAAGCUAACGUGAUAAAUCGACCGCCUGGGGAGUACGGCCGCAAGGUUAAAACUCAAAUGAAUUGACGGGGGCCCGCACAAGCGGUGGAGCAU